rnacentral:lncRNA from 10 species
GUGCUCCCUCCCCUCGCUGCUCACCUUGGUUCCCAAGAGCCGGGCGGCCGCAAGACGGGGUCUUGCCAUGUUGCCCAGGCUGGUCUCGAACUCCUGUGCUCAAGUGAUCUGCCUGCCUUGGCCUCCAAGAGUGCUGGGAUUACAGCUCCGACUCAGAUUUUGAACGGAUGUUUGCAUGUAUACCACAGUGCUACAUUAAAAACCAGUCAUGUGGAUGUGGAGAAGGGUGCUGAUCAGGACUCCCUGUUUGCUAACAAAUUCUACAGCAGAAACAAAGUAUUAAGGUUUGCAGCCAGGAAGCAAGUGCAUGGGGAAUAAGCCUGCAGCUUCUUCCAAAUGAGACAGAGCCAAAUCUUUUUUCUGAGUCUGUUUUCUUCAUUUCUAUUAAACCAAGGUCCUUUUUAA